rnacentral:rRNA from 1 species
GAUGAACGCUAGCUACUGGCUUAACACAUGCAAGUCGAGGGGCAUCAGGAAGAAAGCUUGCUUUCUUUGCUGGCGACCGGCGCACGGGUGAGUAACACGUAUCCAACCUGCCCUUUACUCGGGGAUAGCCUUUCGAAAGAAAGAUUAAUACCCGAUGGGAUAAUUAUUCCGCAUGGUUUGAUUAUUAAAGGAUUCCGGUAAAGGAUGGGGAUGCGUUCCAUUAGGUUGUUGGUGAGGUAACGGCUCACCAAGCCUUCGAUGGAUAGGGGUUCUGAGAGGAAGGUCCCCCACAUUGGAACUGAGACACGGUCCAAACUCCUACGGGAGGCAGCAGUGAGGAAUAUUGGUCAAUGGGCGCUAGCCUGAACCAGCCAAGUAGCGUGAAGGAUGAAGGCUCUAUGGGUCGUAAACUUCUUUUAUAUAAGAAUAAAGUGCAGUAUGUAUACUGUUUUGUAUGUAUUAUAUGAAUAAGGAUCGGCUAACUCCGUGCCAGCAGCCGCGGUAAUACGGAGGAUCCGAGCGUUAUCCGGAUUUAUUGGGUUUAAAGGGAGCGCAGGCGGCGGCGUAAGUCAGUUGUGAAAUCGUGCGGCUUAACCGUGCAAUUGCAGUUGAUACUGCGUCGCUUGAGUGCACACAGGGAUGUUGGAAUUCAUGGUGUAGCGGUGAAAUGCUUAGAUAUCAUGAAGAACUCCGAUCGCGAAGGCAUAUGUCCGGAGUGCAACUGACGCUGAGGCUCGAAAGUGUGGGUAUCAAACAGG